CGCGCUUCAGACGUCCCUCUCCUUCCCCGCCUUGACCCUUGUACGAGUUGUUUUCGAGUUUGGCCUCAGGCGAAGUGGAAGAAUGACGCCAUCACAUCCAUCUGACGAAAUGUAUUUCGUGGAGUCAUACGUUUCACCUUUGUUCGUCCAGGGAUGAGCCUCGUUUGAGAGCAGGUUGAAGGCUCUGCUACGGAUUUUUUCGAUGUUGCCAUCGCAGCGUGCGUGUCGUAACUCGGGACGAGUCGAGUGUGAACCAAGCGACCGCAGUUGACGUGGCGUGAAUGUUUGCAGCGUCCUGUCGCUCAUCUGCUAGUUUGACAUUUCAGGGUAAAUUUCUCAAAUGUUUGGUUCUCUCUUGUAGCUAAUUUUCCACAUCACAGGGGUGUUUGGAAUGACCCCCCCCCCCCGCCCACCCAUGAUAAACAGGGUCGGUGUUCCCUGGUUGUUCAGGUAUACCAAAAUGCUGGCCAACCAA